rnacentral:lncRNA from 1 species
AAUCCAUCUCGCGAUAUUGUAUCACUUCAGGUACGCGCCUACUGAUUUGUUGAUUCAAACGAGUUGUGAAUCAAGAAGCCUCUAAAGAUCCGAAUCAAACUGCAGCAGCACGCCACGAGGUUUUGCUCAGACUAAUCGUAACAAUAGCCUUAUUUACUGACAACGAUUUACUCACAUAGCAGCAAGACCCAUGGGAUUUCAUCAGCCACUCACCAUCAGAGUCCUCAGUGGAAGCUGAGAAGAGCAGAAGAGGAAGCCAAGCAAGAGAUGCCAGAAAAAAAGGGGGAAGGAAAUAAUGUGUUAUUUUGCUGUUUGAGUAUAGGCAGGCGCAGUGGGUAGCACAAUCGCCUCACAGCAAGAAGGUCGCUGGUUCGAGCCUCGGCUGGGUCAGUUGGCAUUUCUGUGUGGAGUUUGCAUGUUCUCCCCAUGUUAGCGUGGGUUUCCUCCGGGUGCU